rnacentral:rRNA from 1 species
AUUGAACGCUGGCGGCAUGCCUACACAUGCAAGUCGAACGGCAGCACGGGAGCAAUCCUGGUGGCGAGUGGCGAACGGGUGAGUAAAGUAUCGGAACGUGCCCAGUCGUGGGGGAUAACGUAGCGAAAGUUACGCUAAUACCGCAUACGAUCUAUGGAUGAAAGCGGGGGAUCGCAAGACCUCGCGCGAAUGGAGCGGCCGAUAUCAGAUUAGGUAGUUGGUGGGGUAAAGGCUCACCAAGCCGACGAUCUGUAGCUGGUCUGAGAGGACGACCAGCCACACUGGGACUGAGACACGGCCCAGACUCCUACGGGAGGCAGCAGUGGAGAAUUUUGGACAAUGGGCGAAAGCCUGAUCCAGCCAUGCCGCGUGCAGGAUGAAGGCCUUCGGGUUGUAAACUGCUUUUGUACGGAACGAAACGGCGAGCUCUAAUACAGUUUGCUAAUGACGGUACCGUAAGAAUAAGCACCGGCUAACUACGUGCCAGCAGCCGCUGUAA